rnacentral:rRNA from 1 species
ACAUACACCGGUAACGCCCAGAGAUGGGUGCCCCUUUGUGGUCGGUGUGCAGGUGGUGCAUGGUUGUCGUCAGCUCGUGUCGUGAGAUGUUGGGUUAAGUCCCGCAACGAGCGCAACCCUCGUCCUAUGUUGCCAGCGGGUCAUGCCGGGGACUCAUGGGAGACUGCCGGGGUCAACUCGGAGGAAGGUGGGAUGACGUCAAAUCAUCAUGCCCCUUAUGUCUUGGGCUUCACGCAUGCUACAAUGGCCGGUACAAAGGGCUGCGAUACCGCGAGGUGGAGCGAAUCCCAGAAAGCCGGUCUCAGUUCGGAUUGGGGUCUGCAACUCGACCCCAUGAAGUCGGAGUCGCUAGUAAUCGCAGAUCAGCAACGCUGCGGUGAAUACGUUCCCGGGCCUU